AAAUUUAAAUUUUGCGUUCAGUUAAUGAUUAUGAGAUGUCAAAAGCCAUAUUAUUGCACGGCGUAUGGAUUUUUUCCAAUUGGCCAUCUACAAAUUACAUCGGUAAGUAACUACAUGUGUUCAACAUAAGAAAUAACCCAAAUUAUAAAUCUACCUCACCCAUUUUCAGAUAAUAAAUACAUUUUUUUCGUAUUAUACGAUGUUCCAAACAAUGAGUAAUUGAAGAAUACUUACAGCUAUCACUAGCAACAUAUAGCCAUUGUACCAAAUUUACGCGUGCAAUAAAUCUUAUGUCAUUUUUGAAUAUUCAAAGACUAAUUUAUGUCUAUCUGGCCCCGACAUUGUUCUACAUCAUGAGUUUGAAUUUCACUGUUUCAGCCAAUGAAGAUUAGCACUAAUUUUUCUUUCUUUUAAAACACAUUUCACAAUUAUCUAGCAGGUACACCAGCAUGUAGCUACUGUACUCACACUUCCUUCAAGAGACUAACAGGACUACUGUAACGUUGUCCACUUCACAUAACGCAAAUUGCAAAGAACUAAAUCCAUGAACAUUUAACAACGAAGUAUGAAUGCUUAGGAAGAAAUCGCAAAAUAGGAUGAAAACAAAAUACGCUCUAUGUGUUAUGCACGUUGCAUAAUAAGAAGGAAUUAUCGUGCGCCCAUGAAAUAUGUAUCACAUAACUAGCAUUGGCUUUUAUAUUCGCUUCCGCAGUACUAGUUCGAAAAGCAAGCCAUGCAGAUGCAGAUAUUUACAGACAGAUUUCAGAAAUAUGGCGGACAUUAUCCCAAACACGUGAUUCCGCAGAUCAUUUAUGAAAAAGAUGAAGCGAUUUGUUAUUAGCAUAAUUUGAAACCAAUUCACGUCCGGGCUGCCGAUCACAUCACGGUUCACAAUGUCCACCUACUAUAAAGGACGACUAGGCAACGUCAUUGAAGAAGAGACAAUAAUCUGAAUUGGUAUAAAUGAUUGAAGCAGAAACAGGAAUACGUGAGAAAAAACUGACAGUAAGGAUGCAUGCAUACAACGUUUGCCGUAUAGAAGACAAUAAUUUCUCCAUUUGAUAUAAAAGUUCUCAAAAACUAAGGAUCAUAUUAAAUAAUUUCACAUGAUGAACUUAAAAUCGUUAUCUCUAAGCAUAUAAAUUUUAAAAAAUUCAAUUGUAAAUACACGGAGAGAAAUGUAUCACUAAAAAUUACUAUAUUUUCUCCUAAUCGGGAGACAAACUCAACCUAUGCAGAAAAAUGUAGUAUGUUUGUGUGAAUAUUUACUAUACAUUCAUUAAAAAUUGCUGUACCAGUAUAGUGAAAAUUGCACUCCGCUUUUACUCGCUGUGUUCCGUCGGUAAAAAAUUACCGACAGAGCUAAAAAAUUCGUCAUAACUCAAACCGAUGACAGGAAUCUGGCUGAUCACUUACUGCCACUAGGGGGCGACUCGUAAACUGUACUCGCAAGUGACGAAAAACUGUUCGGUUAGUACAUAAGGAACUUCCAGAUCGAAACAUUAUAUAUAAAUAUAAAUGCGAUUAGUCUAGCGAUGCGUUGAUAGGUUUCGACAUGUAUAAUAAUUAGAUUGCGAUGUAUGUAAAUUAGGAUAUCAAUGAAAUUCUAUGCGAUGCGACUUCGAGCUUAAAUGUAACAAAUAAAUGAAUGAAAAUUCGAUUGCAACACACAAUAAAUACAAAUAAGACAAAAAGCAACCAACAAACGACAAAAUAAAAGGGCCAAAAAUAUUUUUAAAAAGCUUUAGUAUUCAUAAACUUUCAUAUGCGGUACAGUAAAAAGUGCUAUGUAGUAUAGUAAAAUCUGGUAAUCUGGAAUUUUACUAUACCGUAUACUAAAAUUUAAUAUAAGUCGAGCUUGUCUCCUCGUUAUUAUACGGUAUAGUAAUUUUUCAUGAAAAUUGUAGGAAUAUUUAGUGAUACAUUUCUCUCCGUGUAGUCGUAUUGUAUAGCAAUGCAUCAUUUGUUCUUCAGCUACGAUUUCUCGUUUAUCGCAUACUUGUUGUGAAAAAGUAAAAUGUAUGCUGUUAUGUUAAUUUUCAAGUGACUCAUACAUUCAAAUAAGCUUUUUUAUGUAAUUGCAAUGAAUAUGAAUAAAUAUUUUUUGGAAAAAAUUGAA